rnacentral:lncRNA from 1 species
UCCUAAUUCAAACCAUUUGCGUACUAAAAUUAGACUAUCAUGACAAUUAGAAGUAUAUUGGCCUAAUUCUAGCUUGACACGCAUCUUUACAAACAAACUGAGAUAAGUAGGGUGCUCUUUAGCAUCCUAUCCUUCUUUUAACUAAGGGCCUACAUAGGGAGCUCAUAAACUAAAUGACUGCGUAUGUGAAAACUAUCCAGUUAUACAGCUCCUUGACAGGAGUCUACAUAUCAGUGAUACAUAAAAUGGCUUUAGUACAAUCAGUAAAGAAAACUAAAUUCAGUUUAUAACUUCAAGUUCUUCAUAUGUAUAUUCAUGCUUCAAAUGUCAACUUCAACAUGGAAUUACAUCAGCUUAGUAUGUGUACCUGGAUUUAGACAACAAGAACCAGAAGAAGAAAAGAAUAUCAGCAGCAAGCAGCCAGUCAGUAAUAACGACAACAACAAACGAACGGACAGCAGUAACACAGCAGCAACCACAAAUAGCCCAACAGUAGCAACCCAACAGGGAAACCAGAAUACCCCACUGAAAUAGUAACAACCCAACUACACAACAGACUUGACAGAAAAUAGCUUGACAAUCAAACAAUCGGACUUAGCAAAACGGCUUGAACAAAAAAAAACCAACUGUAUCCAACCAAACAGCUGACCAACCCCCCCUUUUUUGCCUUUUAGGAUUAUUAGAUUUUCUUCUCUCAAUUGCCAACCCCUUAUCAGUAAAAAAUGAGCUCAUUUAUAGGCCCAAAAGACCUUUACAGGACUGCCUCGUAUCCAAACUUCCUCCCCAUACCCUUCAACUUCCCACGCCUAAGUAUCUUAUUGAUGCAAGUCAUUUGGUUCCCCACUAUAGCAUGCUUGUCAUAUUGAUUCAUUCAAGAGUCAUGGACUUUUAUUAGAUUAUUUAUUUUGACCCAUGUUCUUGUUUUGUGCACCCCAUUAAUACUAGAUUAAUAGUAUUUUUCAUUAACCAAUUGACAGCCCAUUAAUCCUAAGCAUUUGUCAGUCUUUGACACCUCAAAUUAUCCCUCAAACCACUGAUUAUUACUACCUUACCCCACCCCCUUCACAUUGCUGAGUCUGUUAACUAUAACCAUUUUAAUCUUAAUCCGAACCUCACCAACUAACAAACUACAACCUAUAAUUAGUUUACCACUGGAUUUAGACAAACAUUUAAUCAAAAUCAGGCAGUAUGAAUCAAGUCGUUGCCUUCCAAGACUGUAAAACACAAACGACAACAUGUAUCGAAUCGACUUUGCGAGUUACAACGUAUACUAAUCAGUCGACAACAAAAGCAGGCUAAAACAGAGCACACGGGUGAUUCAUGUGUUUUUGGACGAAACAUGGAACUUAUGAAACUUAAUUAUUCGACGACGUUACUCAAAUCGACUAUACAGACUAUUACGUGUAACAAACAAUCGACAAACAACAUAGACUAAGCAGACCACCAAAUUAUUUCAAUAUUCGGGACAUUUAGCAGGGAGUUUACGAAACUUAACUAUUCGACGACAUUAGUCGAAACGAAUAGAUAUCUCAUAACAUACACUUAACACUGAAUAGAAGAGAAAUCGACCACAUAAAAGUGUCUUUGAAGAUGGAGAGGAUUGACAGAAAAAUAAUCAAAAAUCAAAAACAAAUCUACUGACAUACGAAUAACACAUAAACAGAAAGAAAGAAAAGAAAAUUACCUCGGAAGCUU